rnacentral:misc_RNA from 1 species
GAAAUGCGAUAAGUAAUGUGAAUUGCAGAAUUCAGUGAAUCAUCGAAUCUUUGAACGCACCUUGCGCUCCUUGGUAUUCCUUGGAGCAUGUCUGUUUGAGUAUCAUGAAAUCUUCAAAGUAAAUCUUUUGUUAACUCAAUUGGUUUCUACUUUGGUAUUGGAGGUCUUUGCAGCUUCACACCUGCUCCUCUUUGUUCAUUAGCUGGAUCUCAGUGUUAUGCUUGGUUCCACUCGGCGUGAUAAGUUAUCUAUCGCUGAGGACACUGUAAAAGGUGGCCAAGGUAAAUGCAGAUGAACCGCUUCUAAUAGUCCAUUGACUUUGACAAUACUUUUAUGAUCUGAUCUCAAAUCAGGUAGGACUACCCGCUGAACUUAAGC